AGAAUCAACGCUGGCGGCGUGCCUAACACAUGCAAGUCGCACGAGAAAGGGACUUCGGUCCUGAGUACAGUGGCGCACGGGUGAGUAACACGUGAAUAAUCUACCUCCGAGUGGGGAAUAACUGAGAGAAAUCUUAGCUAAUACCGCAUAACACUUACGAGUCAAAGCAGCAAUGCGCUUGGAGAGGAGUUCGCGGCAGAUUAGUUAGUUGGCGGGAUAAUGGCCCACCAAGACGAUGAUCUGUAUCCGGCCUGAGAGGGCGCACGGACACACUGGAACUGAAACACGGUCCAGACUCCUACGGGAGGCAGCAGUGGGGAAUUUUGCGCAAUGGGGGAAACCCUGACGCAGCAACGCCGCGUGGAGGAUGAAAUCCCUUGGGAUGUAAACUCCUUUCGAUCGGGAAGAUAAUGACGGUACCGAGAGAAGAAGCCCGGCUAACUCGUGCCAGCAGCCGC
rnacentral:rRNA from 1 species